ACCUGCCCUAUGAUUAAAAAUUAAAUGGCUGCGGUAUUUUGACCGUGCAAAGGUAGCAUAAUAAUUAGUUUUUUAAUUGGGAACUGGUAUGAAAGGUCGAACGAGAAAGAAACUGUCUCAAUUUAAUUUAAAUUAGAAUUUUAUUUUUAAGUAAAAAAGCUUAAAUAUAUUUAAAAGACGAGAAGACCCUAUAGAGUUUUAUAUUAAGAUAAUUAUGUAGGAAAUUAAAGGAUUAUUUUUUUUAUAAUUAUUAAAAUAUUUGGUUGGGGCGAUUGAAAAAUUUAAUAAACUUUUUUUAAAUUAUAACAUUGAUUUAUGAAUAAGUGAUCCAUAUUUAAUGAUUAUAAGAUUA
rnacentral:rRNA from 1 species